GCAGUGGUGGCUGGUAAAGUUUAAAGAUGGUGGGGUGCUGCCCCCAACUAGUUUUGCCGUACCCACUUGACUAGGGUUACCAGAUCCACCAUAUGUUUAGGGACAUAUCAACAUUUCCUCAUAUUUAUAAAAACACAUAAAAGUAUGCACAAUGGAUAUUUUGCAGGAUUCUUCAUUGCCUAAUUACUUAAUCUUAUACACCUUCUUCUGAAUUCUACAUACUAUAGGGCAACCCUUUUCAUGUGGUGUCCCAUCAAUAUGCAUACAUGAUAUGUGUCCCUAAAAACCAUGAUGGUUAUGGUAACCCUACACAUGAGAC